rnacentral:rRNA from 1 species
GACGAACCACCCAAACGUUCUUCGGAAUUACUGGGCUUAAAGCGUGCGUAGGCGGCCAUGUAAGUAGGGUGUGAAAUCCCACAGCUCAACUGUGGAACUGCGCUCUAAACUACAUGGCUAGAGGGAUAUAGAGGUGAGCGGAACUGAUGGUGGAGCGGUGAAAUGCGUUGAUAUCAUCAGGAACACCGGAGGCGAAGGCGGCUCACUGGGUAUCUUCUGACGCUGAGGUACGAAAGCUAGGGGAGCGAACGGG